GUACUGAUGAAGAGUCCCAAACUGGGCUGAAACAGCUGUCCAGUAC
rnacentral:hammerhead_ribozyme from 1 species